rnacentral:lncRNA from 1 species
CAAAUAGUCUGGGGGCAAUGCAAAUAGUCUGGGUAGCCAUUUGAUUAGCUGUUCAGGAGUCUUAUGGCUUAGGGAUAGAAUUUGUUUAGAAGCCUCUUGGACCUAGACUUGGCGCUCCGGUACCGCUUGCUGUGCGGUAGCAAAGAGAACAGUAUAUGACUAGAGUGGCAGGAGUCUUUGACAAUUUUUAGGGCCUUCCUCUGACACCACCUGGUAUAGAGGUCCUGGAUGGCAGGAAGCUUGGCCCUGGUGAUGUACUGGGUCGUACGAACUACCCUCUGUAGUGCCUUGCGGUCGGAGGCCGAGCAGUUGCCAUACCAGGCAGUGAUGCAACCCGUCAGGAUGCUCUCGAUGGUGCAGCUGGAAAACCUUUUGAGGAUCUGAGGACCCAUGGCAAAUCUUUUCAGCCUCCAGACAGUGAGAAAACAAUCACAAUAUCAGAGGGAGAUGUCAUGACAGUGAGCACUUACAAGUAUAUUUUGUCUCUAUGAAAACAUCAGGGAUGGUUUUGAAAUGUCAAUGACUGACACAAUAAACACUUUUCAAUCUGGGAGGCUCGGACACAAAGCAAGACUGUAUAAGUCAUCAAGAAAUGCCAACUGCAAACAAAGUCUAAACAGACUGGAUCAUUUCAGAGAUGCAGUCUAACACAAAACAUGAAACAUAGUAUGGAGUUUAUAUACAGUGCCUUCGGAAAGUAUUCAGACCCCUUGACUUUUUCCACAUUUUUUUAGGUUACAGCCUUAUUCUAAAAUGGAUUAAAUUGUUAUCUACACAAAAUAACCAAUAAUGACAAAGCAAAAAUAAAAACACUGAAAUAUCACAUUUACAUAAGUAUUGAGACCCUUUACUCAGUACUUUGUUGAAGCACAGUCUUCUUGGGUAUGACGCUACAAGCUUGGUACACCUGUAAUUGGGGAGUUUCUCCCAUGCUUCACAUCAAAUCAAAUCAAAUUGUAUAUGUCACAUACACAUGGUCAGCAGAUGUUAAUGCGAGUGUAGCGAAAUGCUUGUGCUUCUGGUUCCCGACAGUGCAGUAGCAUCUAACAAGUAAUCUAACAGUUCCCCAACAACUACCUAAUACACACAAAUCUAAAAGCCUAAUAAUCUCUUCAGAUCCUCUCUAGCUCUGUUAGGUUGGAUGGGGUGCUUUCCAGCACAGCUAUUUUCAGAUCUUUAGAGAUGUUAGACCAGGUUCAAAUCCGAGCUCUGGCUGGGCCACUCUAGGACAUUAAAAGAAUUGUUCCAAAGCCACUCCGGCAUUGUCUUGGCUGUGAUCUUAGAGUCGUUGUGCUGUUGGAAGGUGAACCUUCGCCCUCAGUCUGAGGACCUGAGCUCUCUGGAGCAAAUUUUCAUAAAGGAUCUCUCUGUACUUUGCUUCAUUCAUCUUUGCCUCUAUCCUGACUAGUCUUCCAGUCCCUGCUGCUGAAAAAAUCCCCACAGCAUGAUGCUGCCACCACCAUGCUUCACUGUAGGGAUGGUGUCAGGUUUCCUCCAGACGUGACGCUUGGCAUUCAGGCAUUCAAGUUCCAUCAGACCAGAUAAUCUUGUUUCUCAUCGUCUGAGAGACUUUAGGUGCCUUUUGACAAACUCAAAGCGGGCUGUUAUGUGCCUUUUACUGACGAUUGUCUUCCAUCUGGCCACAAUAAAGGCCUAAUUGGUGGAGUGCUGCAGAGAUGGUUGUCUUUCUGGAAAGUUCUCCCAUCUCCACAGGUGAAGUCUUGAGCUCUGUCAGAGUGACCAUCGGGUUCUUGGUCACCUCCCUGACCAAGGCCCUUCUCCCCCGAUUGCUCAGUUUGGCCGGGCAGCCAGCUCUAGGAAGAGUCUUGGUGGUUUCGAACUUCUUCCAUUUAAGAAUGAUGGAGGCCAACGUGUCCUUGGGGACCUUCAAUGCUGCAGAAAUGUUUUUCUACCCUUCCCCAGAUCUGUGCCUGACACAAUCCUGUCUUGUAACUCUACAGACAAUUCUUUCGACCUCAUGGCUUGGUUUUUGCUCUGACAUGCACUGUCAACUGUGGGUCCUUAUAUAGACAGGUGUAUGCCUUUCCAAAUCCUGUCCAAUCAAUUGAAUUUACCACAGGUGGACUCCAAUCAAGUUGUAGAAACAUCUGAAGGAUGAUCAAUGGAAACAGGAUGCACCUGAGCUCAAUGUGGAGUCUCAUAGCAAAGGGUCUGAAUUCUUAUGUAAAUAGUUAUUUCUGUUUUUUUGUUUUUUUUAAAUACAUGUUUUGACUUUGUCAUUACGGGGUAUUGUGGGUAGAUUGGCUGUAAUGUAACAACAUUUGGAAAAAGUCAAGGGGUCUGAAUACUUUCCGAAUGUACUGUAUAUAGACAUUGAGAGGGUUCUGUCACAAAAGUCUCUCCUCUGAUUUGACAUUUCAAGGUAGUCACUUAUGGUUUUGACGUUCAUAUACAAUUUUUUCUCCCCUUUGUUUCAUUUGGGUUUGAGUGUUCCAUGGCACACACCCAGUUUUCCCAUUUGUCACAAAAUACAAUUUGUGAGUCUCUUUGGAUCAAGCAGCCGGCAGAGUGAUGCAAACACAAAGAGUCGGUUUUUCAUGUUUGAUAUCAAUUCAAGUAUUGUUUUCCACAUUUUGCCCACUGGGUCUGGUAAUAUUUUUGGUCUUUAUUAUAGACCAGUCACACUGAGAUCCUUUUUGUCAUGGGUUGUGUUCAUUGUUAUUUGUGGCACGCUUUUGUUUUAAUUUAUUGAAUAAAUCUUGUUUUAUACAUCAUGCAGCAAAAUAGCCACGUAUUCAUUACACUAGCGAGCACUAAACCGUUACAGUCAAUCUGCAGGUACAUUAACUAUUCUUAAGGUAAUUAUCCACUCUAAGUACAGGCACAGGUAAACAGAAUAGACAACUGGAGGCCAAUGUUUUGAUACGGCUGUAAUGCGAUGCUACUGGCGGCAGAGAAGUCAGGCGCAGGAGAGCGGAAACUGAUUUACAACUGUUGUUUAAUAUCCAUAAACCACCGUCAACAGAACAAUACAACAAAUGGGUCAAACAAAGCCCGGUACAUACCAGCAUACCGUGCAUAAGCACUCCAAGAAACAAUCACCGACAAGGACAGGAGGGGGAAAAGAGGGUUAAAUACACAACAUGUAAUUGAUGGAAUUGGAACCAGGUGUGAUGGAAGACAAGACAAAAUCAAUGGAAAAUGAAAAGUGGAUCAGCGAUGGCUAGAAGGUCGGUGACUUCGAAUGCCGCCCGAACAAGGAGAGGGACCGACUUCGGCGGAAGUCGUGACAACGGCGAACGUCUCUUGAAGGGUAUUUGUGCUCUUAAGAAUUCCCCAAUUCGUAGUGGUGUUCUAGUUUGCGUAGUGUCCACUGUCCUAGUCACCCCAAGGCAGAAACAUCAGCAGUGACAAUACAAGUAUGACUCAAGCUGCAAACAAGGGUAUGGAUCCAAUUUCUAGGUCACAGACAGGUGUUUCCAACAUACUCAUGGAGCAUGUAUUUCAUAUUUGAGAGUACCUUGUUACUUUGUAACCAUUAUAAUUAUUUCUGUUGGGUAACAAUGGAGAGAGUACUGUGUUUGAAUAUUUCGAGAUUCAAUUUGGAUGAAGCUCUUAUUCAUUUUUUUGUUCUUUGUCUUGUUGUUCUGUUCUUGGUCCGUGGUUCUACUCUGGAUGCCAAAACUGAAAGUCUACUCACCCGUUUGUGACAAUCCAUGAGAACGAGGCGCUGAUGUCCAAAAAGCUCCUCAGAGAUGUGUACGCUGAGGAACUUGAACUUUUUGACCGUCUCCACGGCGAUCCCGUUGAUUGAGAUGGGGCAUGCUCAGCCUGGUUCCUCCUGAAGUCCAUAAUCAGCUUCUUUGUUUUGCUGACAUUGGGGGAGAGGUUGUUUCCUUGUUUCCACACCGUCAGAGUGCCUACCUCCUCCCUGGAGUCUGUCUCGUCAUUGUUGGUAAUCAGGCCUACUACUGUCGUGACGUCAGCGAACUUGAUAAUGGAGUUGGACCUGUGUGAGGCCACACAGGGAGUAGAGGAGCGGACGCACCCUCAUGGGGCCCCCAUAUUGAGGAUCAGUGUGGAGGAGGUAAUGUUGCCUAACUGUACCACCUGGGGCAGUGUGUCAGGAAAUCUUUUGGCUGAUCAGUAGGCAACAGCCGGCCCCCCUACCAAGAUGGGCCGGCCCGGUUCUCUGAUAGGCUGAGCUGAGGUCAUGCAUGCUCAAAUUCAAAGUAAAACGCAGCAUCAGUAAAGAGACCUGCUCUGAAUAUGUCAUCAGGUAGACAGCCAACAUCAUGGAUCUUAAAAAACGGAAAGGUUGCCUAUGAACGUAGAAAGAGCUCAUUCUACAUUGUUACCUCACUUAAAACGUAAAAUUUUGAGGUGCUAAAACCAUGAUUUGGUCACAGAGUUGGUGGCACGCGCAGUGCUGUGGGUUGGUGUGGAUAAAAUGCCGGGGCCGAAUUCUUGUCCCAGUCCACCCAUGCUCCCCCUGCACAUGACCGGACGUCUUUGUCUGUCGUACAAACUGUUGUAACUAUAAACAACCUUUCUCUGUUGUACCUAUACUAAAAUCGAAUUUACGGCCCACAAACAUUGUAACCUAUGUGCGACAAACUGAUCACUUCAAUUGACAGGCAUGUUGUUUUUGUCAAACUCUGGCUCAUAGCCUACCGCCUACACGGCACGGGAACGUUUAGCUCCGAAUUUUCUCACAAAACGACACUGUACAUAAUUCAAGAAGAUCUUAAUGCAUAUUCCAAUGAAACUGAUUGAGAUCAAAUGGUUGGCAUGCAGAUGCUGAAUGGAUGUAUCACCGGCAAAAUGUGAAGAAUUAUCAUUCACGAUGGAUAAAGUGAGAAACGUAAAGUGAGGGGAGGGUGAUCAGCAGCUAUGCAAAACAAUGUGUGCAUAAAGUCAAGUUUAGGUAACACAUGCGCAGAAUGUGAUCCGGCUGUUUAGCUCUGGGGAAAGAGCCUUCCAGGGGUGCGGGAAAGGGAGGGAACUUUUUAGCCAGUAGUUUUGAAAAGAGCACUCACAAGUCUAGAGGGGUCCCAAAACAUGUUUUACAACAUCACAUAUGUAUAUCAUGUCAAUCUUAUAAGAAUUCAAUGAAAUGCCCAUAUGGACCAUAUAUUGACACGUCAAGUUCAAAACAUCAAAAAAAUUACAGAAGAAUUUUUCAGUCCUCUGUAACAAGUGUUUCAGUAGCUCUCACCCCAGAUUGGAGUUAAUAGAUGAAAUGGUUAUAUAACGUCUAAACAACAUUUUGCUAACAAAACUGCAAUUCUGGAACUCCUUGCUUAUUUUCUGUGGAUGCUUUUCCAUUUGCGAUGGAUUUGGCUUUGUGAGAGCAGGUGAAUUGGUGCUCUGUCCAAUCAAUGACUAUAAUUGUCAAUUACCAUAGGUCUGUGCCAGUAAAUACCACCACACAUUGCAGUGUCCUAAGAUGCUGGUUGUGAGGAUAAAACACAUGCAACUGCUGACUUAAACUGUAACAAGAAUGUUACUAAUCAAUAAUAACAUCUUCAGUAGUUUUGCAGAGUAACUGAAUUCACAGCUCAUAAUUAUUUUCUCAUUGGCACAGACACUGACAUCUCUUUUUCAACAGUAACAUCAUAUUUUUUGUCUGUAGCCUGAAAACACACUUUUGGGAAAGAUUGGGGCAGAUGGCAGCAUAAGCUCUGGCAACCUGGCCUUGAACACAGAGAAGAACAGUGAGAAUAACUCAACAACAGAAGAGGAAGACAACAUCUCAAUCCCCUCACUGCUGAUUACUGAAUCUGAGGAGCCAAACGCUAACCCUGCAAAAGAUGGAUCCUGGCAAGGUGAUGCGACCUCUUUCAACCUUACCAAGGUAAAGAUGGAAGCCUUUGAGACGCACAUUUAAUUUUUUGUGACAUAAAUGGAUGACAAAACAGAACGGGGUAGAGAUUAAGGCAACACUUUAUUUUAAGUGUCCGUAAUAAACCAAUUAUAAGGCAUUUAUGAAGUGUGUUCACCAUUUAUUAAUCGUUACUCCCACAUUUCUAAACCUUUUACUAAUCAUUAGUUAUUAAGUCUUUUUGCAGCCCCUAAUCUAAAGUGAGUGCUAUUUAAGCUUUACAAAUACCUUAUAAAUGUUUUGAGUGACCAGUGUAAUUUCUCACAAAAAGAUGGGCAUGCCAUUGGUAGACAUUCCAGCAGUACCAGGUAAAAUAAUAAGCACACAACACAGGAUAUUUGCUAACAUUUAUGAAUGUGGGAGUAAUGAUUAAUAAAUGGUGAGUACUGUUUGUAAUCGCAUUAUAAAGUUUAUAAAUGCCUUAUUAAUGGUUUAUUACGGACCUUUCAAAAUAAAGUGUUACGGAGAGUCAUUCCCUAUAGUAUUGACAAAGAGGACUUCUGAUCAUUAUAAGCAGAUGUGACAGCAUGCAAUAAAUUCAACUGAUUUUGCUAUUGUAUAAACAUUUAUGAAAUGCAACAUUUUUCUGGAGAUUGUGAAACUACAUGCUCCACUUGGAUGAAAGAGAAUACUUUUUGAAGUGAUUGAUAUAAUUACUUAAUCAUUCUGACUUGUAUUUUGGGAUAAAUUAAUUUGUUCCAACAUUGAAUCAAACAUUUUGUCAUCUUUUCAAAAAGUUGGUUUGAUUACUGAUCUUGUUAAUACAUGCGAAUAAACAUUUUAUUAUACAUAAUGCAAGUACAUCUAUGCGGUGUUGGUGUUGUCCCUGUGAUUUCUUUGUACUAACAUUUCUCAUUUUGAC